CGGCGUGCUUAACACAUGCAAGUCGAACGGGGAUGCAUUAAGAAGGAGUGCUUGCAUUCCGGAAGGAUGUAUCUUAGUGGCGGACGGGUGAGUAACGCGUGGGUAACCUGCCCCAUACCGGGGGAUACCACCUGGAAACAGGUGCUAAUACCGCAUAAGCGCACGGAAGCGCAUGCUCCUGUGUGAAAAACUCCGGUGGUAUGGGAUGGACCCGCGUCUGAUUAGCCAGUUGGCAGGGUAACGGCCUACCAAAGCGACGAUCAGUAGCCGGCCUGAGAGGGUGGACGGCCACAUUGGGACUGAGACACGGCCCAAACUCCUACGGGAGGCAGCAGUGGGGAAUAUUGCACAAUGGGGGAAACCCUGACGCAGCGACGCCGCGUGAGUGAAGAAGUAUUUCGGUAUGUAAAGCUCUAUCAGCAGGAACGAGACAAGACGGUACCUGACUAAGAAGCCCCGGCUAACUACGUGCCAGCAGCCGCGGUAAUACGUAGGGGGCAAGCGUUAUCCGGAAUCACUGGGUGUAAAGGGAGCGUAGACGGCUGAGCAAGCCUGAAGUGAAAGGCGGGGGCCCAACCCCCGGACUGCUUUGGGAACUGUACGGCUGGAGUGCAGGAGAGGUAAGUGGAAUUCCUAGUGUAGCGGUGAAAUGCGUAGAUAUUAGGAGGAACACCAGUGGCGAAGGCGGCUUACUGGACUGUAACUGACGUUGAGGCUCGAAAGCGUGGGGAGCAAACAGGAUUAGAUACCCUGGUAGUCCACGCCGUAAA
rnacentral:rRNA from 1 species